CGCGUGAAUAUUUGUAAGUCGCUCUGGAUAAGAGCGUCUGCUAAAUGACGUAAA
rfam:Salmo salar isolate Sally breed double haploid chromosome ssa06, whole genome shotgun sequence.